CAAGAAAUCAAACCAAGACAACAUGGGACAAAGGUGCUCCCAUAUGGUUUAAGCACAAAGACAGACAAGUACCCAACCUGAUGAUGAAACGCUACUCUAACUCAAGGCGACAAUAAUAGCAGUAAUUGAUACCUAUUCUUGCCCGUCAGCAGUUAUAUUAAAGAAGAGGACAGGCUGAGACUCAGGAAGAUCAGACAGCUGAUUGCUUUCAAAAUGAGACUCUAUGACAUGUAUAAGAACAUCAGUCCUCCAUUCGAAAUAGUGCAGACCCUAACCUUCACUUAAAAAAAAUUUCUGAUUUUUCUGUGAAGAUCGGCCUCUUCCUAUGCUGCAUCAACUUCAAAUAUUCUGCUGGCAGUGUCUGCACAAGAGGCUGUUAGGCUUCAGUCUGCCAUAGGCCCUGGGAUUCUACAGGGUCUAGAAUCCCAUGGUGUAUGUCUAUUCAUUUCAAAUAGUUUUCAAAAAUAGAAAAAUGUGAGAGGAUGAAUGCUUAAUAUUAAAUGAAAAGGAAUCUUUGCUACAAAGCAUACAUUCUGACACUGUUGUGUGAACUCAUAAUUUUGAGAUUUAAGUUUGUAUUUUUAAUGUAAUUUCAAAGUGGAGCAUAAUUUUUAAAACAGUAAAAACAAUAAAGCCAGCCAUGCAUAACUUAGAGAUAUCACUGUGCUGAUAAUGCCUGUACCAAAUGUGUCAGAGUUCUCCACACACAGGUUACUUUUAAAACCAGUCAAGAUAGCAAAAACAGUAUUAAAACACUUGAACCAUACUCAGAGAAAAUCAGUAGCUGGAGAAUUACAUUUGAGAUUUACAUCAACACUUCUAACAUCAAGAUUUAAAUUCUCUUAUUGUUUCUGCCUGGGUUCUCUAGGCAUACUAUAAUGUUAUUUAUAUCUUGCAACUCCAGGAUUUCGUUAAGAAUACAUGAAAUUCACAUUUCUAUUCUUUUCAAUUUGCACUCAUUCUUUGAUAUUUUAGGAUUUGAAUAAUAAUAAAAAUAUACAAGUCAAAAGAAAAUCUCUUCAUCAGUCACAAUGAUGAGCAUGGAGUAUAUAUUUGGCAGAGUCCUGUACCCAUAUAAUGACACAUGGUGUUUAUAGCUGCACUUACCAUGUGCUUCAACUCCUGUCCAUUCAUAGACAUUUAGCUUCAAAAGAGACAUCUUUAAUCAGAAAGUGCAAAUUAAAAUUGCAGUAACCUUUUUCCCAGCUCAGUGUUUACCUGAAAAAUGGAAGGUGGAUUUGGAAAUAAAUUACAUCAACUUUCACAUUCCUUACCUGCACUUUGCAAGGGCAUUAAUUUCCAAUUUAUCUCCAUUGUGCAUUUUAACUCAUACUCAAACAUUUGUAUCCAAUUACACAAAUACACAGAUGCAGAAUAUACUUUUAUUUAAGCUCAAUUAUACCAUAUUGGUAAAUUAAAAUGAUUUUGUAGCUUACUGUUAUUAUUAACAUUAAAAUCAUUAUGUUAUUAAAUGUAACAUUAAAAAUAUUCUUUCAAUGAAAUAUUUCUAUCAUA